rnacentral:rRNA from 1 species
UACGGGGGGGAGCAAGCGUUGUUCGGAUUUACUGGGCGUAAAGGGCGCGUAGGCGGUCAGCACAAGUCAGUUGUGAAAUCUCCGGGCUUAACUCGGAAAGGUCAACUGAUACUGUGCGACUAGAGUGCAGAAGGGGCAACUGGAAUUCUCGGUGUAGCGGUGAAAUGCGUAGAUAUCGGAAGGAACAUCAGUGGCGAAAAGCGGACUUCCUGGACCAAUACUGACGCUCAUGUGCGAAAGCGUGGGGAGCAAACAGG